rnacentral:rRNA from 1 species
GAUGAACGCUGGCGGCGUGCCUAAUACAUGCAAGUCGAGCGAACAGACGAGGAGCUUGCUCCUCUGACGUUAGCGGCGGACGGGUGAGUAACACGUGGAUAACCUACCUAUAAGACUGGGAUAACUUCGGGAAACCGGAGCUAAUACCGGAUAAUAUAUUGAACCGCAUGGUUCAAUAGAGAAUGACGGUUUUGCUGUCACUUAUAGAUGGAUCCGCGCCGCAUUAGCUAGUUGGUAAGGUAACGGCUUUCCAAGGCAACGAUGCGUAGCCGACCUGAGAGGGUGAUCGGCCGCACUGGAACGGGGACACGGUCCAGACUCCUACGGGAGGCAGCAGUAUGGAAUCUUCCGCAAAGGGCGAAAGCUUUACGGAGCAGCGCCGCGUGAGUGAUAAAGGUCUUCGGAUCGUAAAACUCUGUUAUUAGGUGAGAACAAAUGUGUAAUUAACUAUACACGUCUUGACGGUACCUAGUCAGAAAGCCACGGCUAACUACGUG